rnacentral:rRNA from 1 species
GCCUAAAAUCUAGCCCUUACAUUCACAUGAUGCCGUCAACCUAUUGACCUAAAUAAAACAUUUUUUUAUUCUAGUACAGGCGACAGAAAAACUUCUAAGCGCUUCAGAUAAAGUACCGCAAGGGAAUAAUGAAAUAGAAAUGAAAUAACCUUAAAGCCCUAAAUAGCAAAGAUAUCACCUUGUACCUUUUGCAUCAUGGUCUAGCUAGUCUACCCAAGCAAAAUGAAACUUUCAGUUUGACACCCCGAAACUAAGCGAGCUACUUCAAAACAGCCCUAAGAGCUAAUCCGUCUCUGUUGCAAAAGAGUGGAAAGAUUUUCAAGUAGAAGUGAUAAGCCUACCGAGCUUAGAGAUAGCUGGUUGUUCAGGAAAAGAGUUUUAGCUCUACCUUAAGCUUCUCAAUUACACCAAAAACCCUCCUAAACUUAAGAGCCAUUCAAAUAAGGCACAGCUUAUUUGAAAUAGGGCACAACCUCUAACACCGGGUAAAUAAGGGUAACUUAAACAAAGUAGGCCUAAGAGCAGCCACCUUUAAAAAAGCGUUAAAGCUUACUUAUAAUCACCCACAAUUUCCUAAAUCCUCAUUAACCCUUCACCACUACUGAACUAUUUUAUAUCUUUAUAAAAGCUAUAAUGCUAGAACUAGUAACAAGAAAUAGCCUUUCUCCAAAAUGUAAGCUUACACCAAAAUGGACAAUCCAUUGGUAAUUAACGCAAAUGUUAUAGCCACAGCAACACACCUCUAGAAAACCCUGUGACCUCCUACGUUACCCUUACACUAGAACAUCUCAGGAAAGAUUAAAAGAGAAAGAAGGAACUCGGCAAAUCCUCAGCCCCGCCUGUUUACCAAAAACAUCGCCUCUUG